GGCCCAGUGGUGUACUGGUAACACAUCCUCUUGAUUUGGAAUGUCCGUCAGAGGAAGCACCCUGUUCAAUUCAGGGCUGGGCCA